AGAUUUUAGUGUUGAUGCCAAGGCAUACUCGAAUUGAAACGACCAACUCCUAAACCAUUGUUUCGAUUUUAACCCAGAUCCUGAUGAACACGUCUUUGAUUCAGAACGUGAAGAAAAUUGGCAAAAAUAAUCAAUAAUAAUAUAAAGCAGCAAGAGCACAAGAAUGAAAAUACUGUAUAGAAAUUCACUUAUAUCCUUAAAUAGAAAUCUAAACAUAAAUUAUAUCUUUAAUAAAACACACUUCUUUUAUUUAGUUCUUGCAAAUAGAGAUCUGUUACUUGUUAUUAGUUACUUCUAAAGUAUGUACAAUUAGUUCAUGACUAAAAUUAAAUAAAACAUUUACAGUAUUUCAAACUA
rnacentral:lncRNA from 1 species